UCCAGACUCCUACGGGAGGCAGCAGUGAGGAAUAUUAGUCAAUGGUCGGGAGACUGAACCAGCCAAGCCGCGUGAGGGAUGAAGGUACAGAGUAUCGUAAACCUCUUUUGUCAGGGAACAAAGGCGGGGACGCGUCCCCGGAUGAGUGUACCUGAAGAAAAAGCAUCGGCUAACUCCGUGCCAGCAGCCGCGGUAAUACGGAGGAUGCGAGCGUUAUCCGGAUUUAUUGGGUUUAAAGGGUGCGCAGGCGGGUUUUUUACGUGCGGGGAGACCGCGCGGGGCCCCCCCCGGCCCCGCCGUUGAAACUGGCAGUCUCGAGUUGGAGAGAAGUAUGCGGAAUGCGCGGUGUAGCGGUGAAAUGCAUAGAUAUCGCGCAGAACUCCGAUUGCGAAGGCAGCAUGCCGGCUCCACACUGACGCUGAGGCACGAAAGCGUGGGUAUCGAACAGGAUUAGAUACCCGAGUA
rnacentral:rRNA from 1 species